rnacentral:rRNA from 1 species
CGGCAGCUAAACAUGGCAAGUCGAAGCGGCAGCGGGAAAGUAGCUUGGCUACUUUUGCCGGCGAGCGGCGGACGGGUGAGUAAUGCCUGGGAAAUUGCCCAGUCGAAGGGGGAUAACAGUUGGAAACGACUGCUAAUACCGCAUAUGCCCUACGGGGGAAAGCAGGGGACCUUCGGGCCUUGCGCGAUUGGAUAUGCCCAGGUGGGAUUAGCUAGUUGGUGAGGUAAUGGCUCACCAAGGCGACGAUCCCUAGCUGGUCUGAGAGGAUGAUCAGCCACACUGGAACUGAGACACGGUCCAGACUCCUACGGGAGGCAGCAGUGGGGAAUAUUGCACAAUGGGGGAAACCCUGAUGCAGCCAUGCCGCGUGUGUGAAGAAGGCCUUCGGGUUGUAAAGCACUUUCAGCGAGGAGGAAAGGUCAGUAGCUAAUAUCUGCUGACUGUGACGUUACCUACAGAAGAAGGACCGGCUAACUCCGUGCCAGCAGCCGCGGUAAUACGGAGGGUCCAAGCGUUAAUCGGAAUUACUGGGCGUAAAGCGUGCGCAGGCGGUUUGUUAAGCGAGAUGUGAAAGCCCCGGGCUCAACCUGGGAAUUGCAUUUCGAACUGGCAAACUAGAGUCUUGUAGAGGGGGGGUAGAAUUCCAGGUGUAGCGGUGAAAUGCGUAGAGAUCUGGAGGAAUACCGGUGGCGAAAGGCGGCCCCCUGGACAAAGACUGACGCUCAGGCACGAAAGCGUGGGGAGCAAACAGGAUUAGAUACCCUGGUAGUCCACGCCGUAAACGAUGUCUACUCGGAGUUUGGUGUCUUGAACACUGGGCUCUCAAGCUAACGCAUUAAGUAGACCGCCUGGGGAGUACGGCCGCAAGCUAAACUCAAAGGAUUGACG